rnacentral:rRNA from 1 species
UACGUAGGGGGCAAGCGUUGUCCGGAAUUAUUGGGCGUAAAGAGCGUGUAGGCGGUCCGGUAAGUCAGCUGUGAAAGUCAAGGGCUCAACCCUUGAAAGCCGGUUGAUACUGUCGGGCUAGAGUCCGGAAGAGGCGAGUGGAAUUCCCGGUGUAGCGGUGAAAUGCGCAGAUAUCGGGAGGAACACCAAUGGCGAAGGCAGCUCACUGGGACGGUACUGACGCUGAGACGCGAAAGCGUGGGGAGCAAACAGG